UUCUGUUAUUUGCAGUCAGUAACAAAGAUUCAUCCUUGUGUCCAUCAUGCAACAAGGAGAAUCUUUGUCACUCAGUGUAAUUAAUAGCUGGAC
rnacentral:pre_miRNA from 1 species